UAGCUCUUGGAAACGGGUGGUAAUGCUGGAUGCUCCAACUUGACGCAUGUCUUGUUGGGAAAGUGUUUAGUGGCAUGGGAUGGGGUCGCGUCCUAUCAGCUUGUAGGCGGGGUAAUGGCCCACCUAGGCUUCGACGGGUAGCCGGCCUGAGAGGGCGGACGGCCACAUUGGGACUGAGAUACGGCCCAGACUCCUACGGGAGGCAGCAGUA
rnacentral:rRNA from 1 species